AAUGUGUCCCACUCCAAUCCCAAGGUUGCCUCAGGUUGUUGGUCAUGAAAGUAACAUCAGUUCCUAGGAAGAGAAAGUGGAGUGAGGUGGAGAUUGCGGCUGUAGAAGAGAAAAUGAUGAAAUUUAUUCACUCGGGAGUUACUCCUGGAAAAGUCGACUGCAUGGCAUGCAUUACAGCAGCCCCCAAAGCCCUUGGUGAACGAGACUGGCAGGCGGUGAAGUAUUAUAUAAAAAAACAGAAUCACAGAAUAUGAGAGAAGGACCACUAAAAAGUAAGGUUGAUUUUGGUUGUUGAUUCAGUUUUUGUGUUUU